rnacentral:rRNA from 1 species
CGGCGGACGGGUGGUAGUAAUGCCUAGGAAUCUGCCUGGUAGUGGGGGACAACGUUUCGAAAGGAACGCUAAUACCGCAUACGUCCUACGGGAGAAAGCAGGGGACCUUCGGGCCUUGCGCUAUCAGAUGAGCCUAGGUCGGAUUAGCUAGUUGGUGAGGUAAUGGCUCACCAAGGCGACGAUCCGUAACUGGUCUGAGAGGAUGAUCAGUCACACUGGAACUGAGACACGGUCCAGACUCCUACGGGAGGCAGCAGC